AGCUCAUUAUAUAGCAAAGCAUGGAAAAAAUGGAAUGAUUCAAGGGCAUCGUUCUAAACUGUGAUUUUUCUUGAUGACAGCUGUUGGCAUUAUGCGUUGCAGAUUUAGGCCUCAAGGCUAAACUGGAUGUUCGAGGUACCUGCGGAGUUCUAAAUUCGUAUGUUGAUUGUACAACAUGCCAGUGAAGCUCCUUCGUGGCCGGUGGCGUGAUGCCAAGGUGCUCCAGCCAUCCUCACUCAGGUUUUUCCACAGCAAAUCCUCACCUAGACAGUGGCCCUGCUGCCUGUUCAGUCGGGUGGGCACUCAAAGACAAGCAAUGCUUGCGCCUUCUCGGGAUCAGGAGCACUACAUCACCGAGAAACUACGCCUGAUAUUCCAUAUAGGAGUGGAAUACGUGAAUAAUAACAUAUGGGAAGGACCACCUGUAUAUUUGAGAGUGGAAUUUCAGGGAAGGACAAUCAUGAAGAGAUGGACUGGAGCCACGAUACCAUUCCACACAAACGUCUGAAGCUGGAGUUUGUCAAGUCCUCUGUGGUGCCAAGCAGCAUGUGCCGCUGUGGAUGUCCCCUCUUGGAUAAUGUGACAACUUAUAGCACAUAAUUCAGUUUUUAGUGUUCCAUUAAACCUUAGGUGUGCAAUUUGAUAUUCUCAGUUUCCUAUAGAAUAUACCUUCAAUAUUUGGAUGAUUUAUGAGUGUCCAUCCAAGACAUUGAGUUCCAAAUCGGUAUAUAGUUCCCCUAUUUUGAUUUUUGAUAAAACAUGGUUGUUGUAUCUGAGUGAGGAUUUUUUGUUGUUGAAAAUUUA